rnacentral:rRNA from 1 species
CCUACGGUUGGCUGCAGUGGGGAAUAUUGGACAAUGGGCGAAAGCCUGAUCCAGCCAUGCCGCGUGUGUGAAGAAGGCCUUCGGGUUGUAAAGCACUUUCAGUGGGGAAGAAAGCCUUGGGGCUAAUACCCUCGAGGAAGGACAUCACCCACAGAAGAAGCACCGGCUAACUCCGUGCCAGCAGCCGCGGUAAUACGGAGGGUGCGAGCGUUAAUCGGAAUUACUGGGCGUAAAGCGCGCGUAGGCGGUCUGAUAAGCCGGUUGUGAAAGCCCCGGGCUCAACCUGGGAACGGCAUCCGGAACUGUCAGGCUAGAGUGCAGGAGAGGAAGGUAGAAUUCCCGGUGUAGCGGUGAAAUGCGUAGAGAUCGGGAGGAAUACCAGUGGCGAAGGCGGCCUUCUGGACUGACACUGACGCUGAGGUGCGAAAGCGUGGGUAGCAAACAGGAUUAGAUACCCUUGUAGUC